GAUGAACGCUGGCGGCGUGCUUAACACAUGCAAGUCGAACGGGAUCCAUCAGGCUUUGCUUGGUGGUGAGAGUGGCGAACGGGUGAGUAAUGCGUGACCGACCUGCCCCAUACACCGGAAUAGCUCCUGGAAACGGGUGGUAAUGCCGGAUGCUCCAGUUGAUCGCAUGGUCUUCUGGGAAAGCUUUCGCGGUAUGGGAUGGGGUCGCGUCCUAUCAGCUUGACGGCGGGGUAACGGCCCACCGUGGCUUCGACGGGUAGCCGGCCUGAGAGGGCGACCGGCCACAUUGGGACUGAGAUACGGCCCAGACUCCUACGGGAGGCAGCAGUGGGGAAUAUUGCACAAUGGGCGCAAGCCUGAUGCAGCGACGCCGCGUGGGGGAUGGAGGCCUUCGGGUUGUAAACCUCUUUUAUCGGGGAGCAAGCGAGAGUGAGUUUACCCGUUGAAUAAG
rnacentral:rRNA from 1 species